CUGGCGGCACGCUUAACACAUGCAAGUCGAACGAGAUCUUCGGAUCUAGUGGCAGACGGGUGAGUAACGCGUGGGAACCUGCCCAGUAGUAGAGAAUAACUUGGGGAAACUUAAGCUAAUACUUUAUACGUCCUUCGGGAGAAAGCUUUAUGCGCUAUUGGAUGGGCCCGCGUUAGAUUAGUUUGUUGGUGAGGUAACGGCUCACCAAGGCGACGAUCUAUAGCUGGUCUGAGAGGAUGAUCAGCCACACUGGGACUGAGACACGGCCCAGACUCCUACGGGAGGCAGCAGUGGGGAAUAUUGGACAAUGGGGGCAACCCUGAUCCAGCGAUGCCGCGUGAGUGAUGAAGGCCCUAGGGUUGUAAAACUCUUUCGUCAGGGAAGAUAAUGACGGUACCUGAAGAAGAAGAUCCGGCUAACUCCGUGCCAGCAGCCGCGGUAAUACGGAGGGGUCUAGCGUUAUUCGGAAUUACUGGGCGUAAAGCGAGCGUAGGCGGAUUUGUAAGUUGGAGGUGAAAUCCCAGAGCUUAACUCUGGAACUGCCUUCAAAACUACAUUUCUUGAGUUUGGUAGAGGAGAGUGGAAUUCCUAGUGUAGAGGUGAAAUUCGUAGAUAUUAGGAGGAACACCAGUGGCGAAGGCGACUCUCUGGGCCAAUACUGACGCUGAGGUUCGAAAGCAUGGGUAGCGAACAGGAUUAGAUACCCUGGUAGUCCAUGCAGUAAACGAUGAGUGCUAGAUGUUGGGAAUUUAAAUUUCCAGUAUCGCAGUUAACGCGUUAAGCACUCCGCCU
rnacentral:rRNA from 1 species